rnacentral:rRNA from 1 species
UACGGGGGGGUGCGAGCGUUGUCCGGAAUCACUGGGCGUAAAGGGCGCGUAGGUGGUUUGAUAAGGGUGUGGUGAAAGUCCGGAGCUCAACUCCGGAUCUGCCGUGCCGACUGUCAAACUCGAGGGCUGUAGAGGCAGACGGAAUUCCGGGUGUAGCGGUGGAAUGCGUAGAGAUCCGGAGGAAGACCGGUGGCGAAGGCGACUUCCUGGCCUGUUCUUGACGCUGAGGCGCGAAAGCUAGGGGAGCAAACGGG